rnacentral:rRNA from 1 species
AUUGAACGCUGGCGGCAGGCCUAACACAUGCAAGUCGAGCGGAUGAAGGGAGCUUGCUCCUGGAUUCAGCGGCGGACGGGUGAGUAAUGCCUAGGAAUCUGCCUGGUAGUGGGGGAUAACGUCCGGAAACGGGCGCUAAUACCGCAUACGUCCUGAGGGAGAAAGUGGGGGAUCUUCGGACCUCACGCUAUCAGAUGAGCCUAGGUCGGAUUAGCUAGUUGGUGGGGUAAAGGCCUACCGAGGCGACGAUCCGUAACUGGUCUGAGAGGAUGAUCAGUCACACUGGAACUGAGACACGGUCCAGACACCUACGGGAGGCAGCAGUGGGGAAUAUUGGACAAUGGGCGAAAGCCUGAUCCAGCCAUGCCGCGUGUGUGAAGAAGGUCUUCGGAUUGUAAAGCACUUUAAGUUGGGAGGAAGGGCAGUAAGUUAAUACCUUGCUGUUUUGACGUUACCAACAGAAUAAGCACCGGCUAACUUCGUG